rnacentral:rRNA from 1 species
AUACGUAGGUGACAAGCGUUAUCCGGAUUUACUGGGCGUAAAGGGCGUGUAGGCGGUCUUGCAAGUCAGAAGUGAAAUUCCUGAGCUCAACUCGGGCGCUGCUUCUGAAACUGCAGGAUUUGAGUGCUGGAGGGGAUAGCGGAAUUCCUAGUGGAGCGGUAAAAUGCGCAGAUAUUAGGAAGAACCCCGGUGGGGAAGGCGGCCUGCUGGACGACAACUGACGCUGAGGCGCGAAAGCGUGGGGAGCAAACAGGAUUAGAUACCCUGGUAGUCCACGCUGUAAACGAUGAAUACUAGGUGUGGGGGGACUGACCCCCUCCGUGCCGCAGUUAACACAAUAAGUAUUCCACCUGGGGAGUACGAUCGCAAGAUUGAAACUCAAAUGAAUGGACGGGG